UAAACUAAAAUUAAUAACUAUUUAUUUUCCCGAAGUGAAAAGAUCUAAUUAAACUCCGCUUUUUUAGAAGGAUUGCAGUAAUGUCGCAAAAUUACAGAGUCGAGCGUUAGUUAGGGGUGAUAGGCCAUUCAAUUUUCAUUGAUAACUGGAUUAAACUUAAAAAUAUUUAGUAUUUAAAUACAAACUCAAAAAUCUAAGCUUUUGAGUAUAUUAAAAUUAUGGUAAAAAUCUGUAAAGAAAACCAAUUUAUUAAUAUAAUAAGGUGCAAAACUACUAAUAAUUAAUUUCCUGCAUUAUUUAAGCUCUCUUAGGUUUAUAUAUUCAGGGAAUAUUUUUUCUGAUAUAAAUAAUGUUUAAAUGAGUAUAAAAAUUAUAAAAAAAAUAAGGAACUCGGCAAUUAUUUUCUUCAGCUGUUUAUCAAAAACAUAGCUAGUUGUUUUUGAUAAUUAGUAAUCUCUGCCCGGUGAUUUAAAAUUUAACGGCCGCAGUACACUGACUGUGCAAAGGUAGCAUAAUCAAUUGGCUAUUAAUUGUAGUCGAGUAUGAAGGAGUCCAUGGGGAAGUGCUGUCUUUUUUUUUUUCUUUGGAACUUACUAAGCAAGUGCAAAAACUUGCGAAGUCUCAUAAUAGACGAGAAGACCCUAUAAAUUUACUACUAAAUAUGGAAGAAUUCCAAGUUCGUUUUUGUUGGGGCAACAGAUUAACACAUAUUUACAAAUUUAAUUAAUUAUUUUAAUUUAUAAAACGAGUACUACUAAUAAUAAAUAAAUUACUAUAGGGAUAACAGCAUAAUUUAAAAAAUAAGAUUGUGACCUCGAUGUUGGAUUAGGAACUUAGCAGAUCAACAAUUUGCUUAUGGGGUUCUGUUCGAACUAUUAUACCUACAUGAUCUGAGUUCAGACCGG
rnacentral:rRNA from 1 species